rnacentral:tRNA from 1 species
GGGCAGGUAACAAAGUGGUUAUGUGGCGGACUGCAGAUCCGCAUACGGGGGUUCAAAUCCCUCCCUGCCCUCCA